CUGCGAGCUAGUCCGGGCGUUUUUCACCCCCCCCCCUUUCCUUUUUCCCCCCCUCCCCUCCCUCCUCGGCUUCCUUUCUUUGUAGCCACCUCAGGGGAAGCAACAGAUCGUCACUCGGUGUUCUCACCGAAAGCACGUAAUCGCCGGUGUAACUCAUGUUGGCUGGGGGCCUCCCGGCGCGCGGCGGGGCUGGGGUGCGCCCCCGUGCAGCUCGCUUUUGCUCAGCUGCACGAUCCCAGCCCUCGAAUGCGCCUAGGGCGGUGAGAAACUCAAUUCCCGUGGCCCCCACCCCAACUCCUCGGGUGGGUGAGGGAUGCUGUGUGCUGGGGGUGGCCAGGUGGGAGCCCGGAGCUGAGUGGCCCGUGGUCGGGGAGUCUGUUCUCCUGGAGGCUUAGGGUCGCGUCCCCUUCCUCCCAGCCCCCCACCCCAGGCUUGCUCUGGGAAGCACCUCAGCCUCAGACCCUGGUUGGACCCCAUUCGGGGGCAGGGUUCGUAGUGGUGGAUGUGCUGGCCUCGUGGCUUGUCUGAUUUGCACGGUGACUUGAUUACACGCUCGCAUUCAUGGUCACUUCCGAAGCGCUUUAGUGCCUUCCGUCCCUAAACCGCCAACAGCCAGGGCGGCUUUCCGCGCGGAUUGUCAGUGAUCCACGGGUCCGGAAGGGCCUUCGUCUUACCCGGGAUCCACCUUCCCCUUCAUGCUCCUUGCCCGCCUCCUCACCCCAGCCCUUGUCCUUGAAGAAGCCCCCUUCUUCUCGAUGCCUGCCGGGGCUCGGAAUGAGUGGGCAGAGUCACAGACAUGGGGGCUGCGCCUCUGCUCACUGGUCAGCACGUCUGCCUGGUCUUCUGGAGCUGAGGAAUCGGGAAACCAUGCAAUUGAGGCAAGCCUUGGGCUGCUUUAGAGGAGCUGACAUCCGAGGAGCCUUCUCCUGGGAUUGCUUAUCACAAAUCAAGCUUGGUCAGACACAUUGGUUUAAUGGACUCUUUAUUCAAGAUUUGCUGCAAGAACUUUCAUGCCCCUCGAAUCUGAGUGCUGAACUCGACAUUAUUUGUGCAUCUUCAGCUUGACAUAUUUGUCCACUGUAGCUUGCAUAGAGGGCAGCAUCGGCAUGAGUGAGAAGAUCCUCUGGGCAGAAGGUUGUUGGGGAAAGGUAGCUUGGGACCUCCUAAAGCUGAGAGUCACAAUUGUGGAGUUGCCCUGCAGCAAAAAUACUCCUGUUUCCAGCAGCGACCAACAAGGCAAAAUAUUUAUUUCUCCACAGUAUCUCUUUCUUGGAGAUGGAAUAUAAACGAUAGAAGAGAGGUUGCAAACUGCUGUGUUUGAAUAGUUCCCUGGCUCAAUUUUUCACCAUCCCAAACUGUCUCCCUGCAGCCCACCCAGUCCUCACCAUCCCAAUCCUGGAACAAAAGGAAUGCAUGAAGGGUUUCAGUGACUUUGCCAUAACAAAGGCGCCACCAUUGCAGGGCUCGCCCCGCCCCUGGAUGAAGGCAAACAAAUUCUUGCACUUGUAUUAGGGCUUUUAAGACCAUAAUUGAACCCGGGGGCGUCUAGGAGAACCGAAAACAGUUCUAGACAGACCUGCGGUUUUAUAGCAGUUUUGGCAGUCAACUUCAGCUUGUGCCUGAGCAGUGGGGCCGAAGUCGCCCGCCAGCGGGGGAUGCUAGACCACCUCCCCCAGCUGCAUGCAGCCCCUCACUUAAUUAGAUCGGCUUCCUCUGGUGCCAAGGAGAGGGUGUCCCCACAGAAAGGUCAGUAUGGGGUUGUGUGCUAUUUCAAAUAACCACUGCCUCCUAUGUCCUUCUCAAGGACUCCGAGAGGAGUGUUUGCCGGCAGGUUUGGAUUCCUUGGGCAUCUUCAUGAGACAAGGCAAAUUCCCAAGGAAAGGCUCUGUGGAAGGAAGAUACUCCAGGAGUGGUUGCAGGGACAAAACUCGAGGUGCUCAGAUCCUCCAAGCCUGCAUGAUGCCUCUGGAUUUGCCCAUUCCUGCCCCACUCAAGCAGAAUAUAGUUGGUGUGAAUGUUUCUUCAGGCAGCCAGUGGGGGUUAGGAUGGGUACUGUUUUGAGGCUUGGACCAAAUAUGAGGCAAGAAGGGGUAGCGCCUACCCAGCUACCAGUCCUUGAUUUUAACUUUGCUGAGUCUUAUAGAUUUUUCUGCUUUGCAGGAGGCUCAACAGUCACGCUGAACCUACCUGGCUUUGGGAAAGAGCUGACUGGGUCUAAGGCUAUCCCGGAAGCCCAAGUCCGAGUUCUACUUCUUGAAGCUGCCGCGGUAGGCAAGACUGUGACAUUGGCCCUGGCGACUGGUUUCCCAUGAGCUGUUCUUUCACAAGAGCUCCACGGCACGGGGCCAUCUCCAGAAAACACUCUUAAGCAUAUAUUUCCUUUAAUCGUCAACCCGGAGCCCCAGGGCGGCUAAUGCAAGAGGCCAAAAAUGUUUGGAGGAAGAAAAACAAAGGCAGGAAGUGGCGGCUGCCUGACGGUGUGUGUGUGUCUGCAAAGAAGGGAGGGAGCCAGUUCAAUCUCUUGUUUUUCUGAACUUCAAGGUCUAGGCAGCCUUUUGCAGGGCCGCCUGUCCGCUGCUCCUCCGCAGACUUUGGAGGUGGCCACCCGGAGAGAAGGCAGGCAUCCCUGUGGUCCUCAUCAAGGCGGAAACAGCUAACAAGGAGAUUUGUUUAGCAAAACAGACCGAAAGCAAGCCUUUCAGGGCCUUCGUCUGAUUUGGCUCUGACAUUGGGGAGGGAGGAUGUGCGCCUACCCAGCCCUCCUCACAGGCUGAGUGCACCCUGGCUGGGAUGGUGAUCCACGCACCCGUGUGCUACCGUCUUUCCAGGCAGGAUAUCAGAAUAAAGUGUAUGGGGUGCCUCUGC